rnacentral:rRNA from 1 species
CCUACGGGAGGCAGCAGUGAGGAAUAUUGGUCAAUGGGCGGAAGCCUGAACCAGCCAAGUCGCGUGAGGGAAUAAGGCCCUACGGGUCGUAAACCUCUUUUGCCGGGGAGCAAGGGCGGGGACGUGUCCCGGCCCGGAGCGUACCCGGAGAAAAAGCAUCGGCUAACUCGGUGCCAGGAGGCGCGGUAAUACGGAGGAUGCGGGCGUUAUCCGGAUUGAUUGGGUUUAAGGGGUGCGUAGGCGGGCUUUUAAGUCAGCGGGAAAAAGUCGGGGCUCAACCCCGUCCGGCCGUUGAAACUGGCGGCCUAGAGUGGGCGAGAAGAAGGCGGAAUGCGUGGUGUAGCGGUGAAAUGCAUAGAUAUCACGCAGAACCCCGAUUGCGAAGGCAGCCUUCCGGCGCCCUACUGACGCUGAGGCACGAAAGUGCGGGGAUCGAACAGGAUUAGAUACCCCUGUAGUC